GUGCAGCAGUCGAGAAUUUUUCUCAAUGGGCGAAAGCCUGAAGGAGCGACGCCGCGUGGAGGAUGAAGGCUUUCGGGUCGUAAACUCCUGUCAUUUGAGAACAAGUGUAGCCAAAUAACUACUGGCUACUUGAUAGUAUCAGAAGAGGAAGGGACGGCUAACUCUGUGCCAGCAGCCGCGGUAAUACCGAGGUCCCAAGCGUUGUUCGGAUUCAUUGGGCGUAAAGGGUGCGUAGGUGGCGCCGUAAGUGGGGUGUGAAAUUUCGGAGCUUAACUCCGAAACUGCAUUCCAUACUGCGGUGCUUGAGGACUGGAGAGGAGACUGGAAUUCAUGGUGUAGCAGUGAAAUGCGUAGAGAUCAUGAGGAGGACCAGUGGCGAAGGCGGGUCUCUGGACAGUUCCUGACACUGAGGCACGAAGGCUAGGGGAGCGAACGGGAUUAGAUACCCCCGUAGU
rnacentral:rRNA from 1 species